AUUUCACUACAAGAAAUUAGUCUUUUAGAGACUAAUAUUUAAGGACUAAUUAAAUUUAGUCCCUAAAAAUAAUCUUUUAGAGACAAAACUAAACUUGUGAUAAUUUACUUAUAAAACUAUCAAAAUGACUCUUGAUAUUUCCUGUUACGCUGUGUAACUUUUUGAGACCAAUAAUUUUGGUGGUCAACACAUAUUAUUGGCAUUUUUUAGGGACCAAAUAAUGAAAAAUUACAAAACCUCACCUGAUGCAAAUACACACUGAAAACCGUAUCCAAGCUUCACGAUGUGUAAAAACUUCUCUCUCUAUUUGUCAAGCUCCAUCGCAAGCUUCAUUGUAGGUCUUCGCUCUGUCCAUCUCGAGCUCCAUUGCAGAUCAGUUUGAGAUCUACAAUCUUCAGUAGAUCUACCUUGUUCUUCACAUUUUCUGUAGAUUUGAUUUCUGCUACUUUGAAGACAUCGAUUGGUUAAUUCACUCUCUAUCAAGACCCAAAGGUUUCUAAUGGCCCCUUGUACAGUCUUAUAUCAUUUGAAUCAUCACCCCAUAUUGACAAAGACAACAAAUGGUAUAUCAGUGUUGAGGAAUGGCCACAUCAGUCAUACCCACCAUGGGCCCAUGGUCCAGGUUAUAUAAUUUCCAAAGGGAUGUCCAAAGGGUGUCACACCUAAGUACAGCUUGAAGCCUCUUGUGUCAAGCCUGUCUGAUAUAAAGCCUGAUAUUGAUGUUGAGAAAAUGCUUUUUUAGAUAUUUUCUUUGUAGAAACUAUUGUAUUGUUGCUAUUCUUCAUUUGAACUGUUACUACUUUGAUCUGAAUUUGGAAACUUUUAGUUUUAAUUUUUGUCAAAUUUACUUUCUAUAUACUCAUUAUGGUUUGGGAAUAGAGUGGGUUUGAUAUGUGGAUGUCAAA